GACGAACGCUGGCGGCGUGCCUAACACAUGCAAGUCGAACGGAAGUAGAAGCUUCGGUUUUUACUUUAGUGGCGAACGGGUGAGUAACGCGUGAGAAACCUGCCUUUCAGUGGGGGACAACAGUUGGAAACGACUGCUAAUACCGCAUGAUACUAUCGGGCCGCAUGGUCUGGUAGUCAAAGAUUUAUUGCUGAAAGAUGGUCUCGCGUCUGAUUAGCUAGUUGGCGGGUAACGGCCCACCAAGGCGACGAUCAGUAGCCGGUCUGAGAGGAUGAACGGCCACAUUGGGACUGAGAUACGGCCCAGACUCCUACGGGAGGCAGCAGUGGGGAAUAUUGGGCAAUGGGGGAAACCCUGACCCAGCAACGCCGCGUGAAGGAAGAAGGCCUUCGGGUUGUAAACGUUCUUUUAGUCAGGGACGAAGAACGUGACGGUACCUGCAGAAAAAGACAACGGCUAACUACGUG
rnacentral:rRNA from 1 species